AGGACGAACGCUGGCGGCGUGCUUAACACAUGCAAGUCGAGCGGAAAGGCCCUUCGGGUACUCGAGCGGCGAACGGGUGAGUAACACGUGAGCAACCUGCCCUUAGCUCCGGGAUAGCUCCGGGAAACCGGAAUUAAUACCGGAUACGACCACGGCCGACAUCUGCUGUGGUGGAAAGGAUUCCGGCUAAGGAUGGGCUCGCGGCCUAUCAGCUAGUUGGUGGAGUAACGGCCCACCAAGGCGACGACGGGUA
rnacentral:rRNA from 1 species